UUGAACGCUGGCGGCAGGCCUAACACAUGCAAGUCGAACGGUAACAGGAAGCAGCUUGCUGCUUUGCUGACGAGUGGCGGACGGGUGAGUAAUGUCUGGGAAACUGCCUGAUGGAGGGGGAUAACUACUGGAAACGGUAGCUAAUACCGCAUAACGUCGCAAGACCAAAGAGGGGGACCUUCGGGCCUCUUGCCAUCGGAUGUGCCCAGAUGGGAUUAGCUUGUUGGUGGGGUAACGGCUCACCAAGGCGACGAUCCCUAGCUGGUCUGAGAGGAUGACCAGCCACACUGGAACUGAGACACGGUCCAGACUCCUACGGGAGGCAGCAGUGGGGAAUAUUGCACAAUGGGCGCAAGCCUGAUGCAGCCAUGCCGCGUGUAUGAAGAAGGCCUUCGGGUUGUAAAGUACUUUCAGCGGGGAGGAAGGGAGUAAAGUUAAUACCUUUACUCAUUGACGUUACCCGCAGAAGAAGCACCGGCUAACUCCGUGCCAGCAGCCGCGGUAAUACGGAGGGUGCAAGCGUUAAUCGGAAUUACUGGGCGUAAAGCGCACGCAGGCGGUUUGUUAAGUCAGAUGUGAAAUCCCCGGGCUCAACCUGGGAACUGCAUCUGAUACUGGCAAGCUUGAGUCUCGUAGAGGGGGGUAGAAUUCCAGGUGUAGCGGUGAAAUGCGUAGAGAUCUGGAGGAAUACCGGUGGCGAAGGCGGCCCCCUGGACGAAGACUGACGCUCAGGUGCGAAAGCGUGGGGAGCAAACAGGAUUAGAUACCCUGGUAGUCCACGCCGUAAACGAUGUCGACUUGGAGGUUGUGCCCUUGAGGCGUGGCUUCCGGAGCUAACGCGUUAAGUCGACCGCCUGGGGAGUACGGCCGCAAGGUUAAAACUCAAAUGAAUUGACGGGGGCCCGCACAAGCGGUGGAGCAUGUGGUUUAAUUCGAUGCAACGCGAAGAACCUUACCUGGUCUUGACAUCCACAGAACUUUCCAGAGAUGGAUUGGUGCCUUCGGGUACUGUGAGACAGGUGCUGCAUGGCUGUCGUCAGCUCGUGUUGUGAAAUGUUGGGUUAAGUCCCGCAACGAGCGCAACCCUUAUCCUUUGUUGCCAGCGGUCCGGCCGGGAACUCAAAGGAGACUGCCAGUGAUAAACUGGAGGAAGGUGGGGAUGACGUCAGGUCAUCAUGGCCCUUACGACCAGGGCUACACACGUGCUACAAUGGCGCAUACAAAGAGAAGCGACCUCGCGAGAGCAAGCGGACCUCAUAAAGUGCGUCGUAGUCCGGAUUGGAGUCUGCAACUCGACUCCAUGAAGUCGGAAUCGCUAGUAAUCGUGGAUCAGAAUGCCACGGUGAAUACGUUCCCGGGCCUUGUACACACCGCCCGUCACACCAUGGGAGUGGGUUGCAAAAGAAGUAGGUAGCUUAACCUUCGGGAGGGCGCUUACCACUUUGUGAUUCAUGACUGGGGUG
rnacentral:rRNA from 1 species